CCUACGGGUGGCAGCAGUAGGGAAUCUUCCGCAAUGGACGAAAGUCUGACGGAGCAACGCCGCGUGAACGAUGAAGGUUUUCGGAUCGUAAAGUUCUGUUGUUAGGGAAGAACAAGUACCGUUCAAAUAGGUCGGUACCUUGACGGUACCUAACGAGGAAGCCCCGGCUAACUACGUGCCAGCAGCCGCGGUAAUACGUAGGGGGCGAGCGUUGUCCGGAAUUAUUGGGCGUAAAGCGCGCGCAGGCGGUUUCUUAAGUCUGAUGUGAAAUCUCGUGGCUCAACUGCGAGCGGUCAUUGGAAACUGGGGAACUUGAGUACAGAAGAGGAGAGUGGAAUUCCACGUGUAGCGGUGAAAUGCGUAGAUAUGUGGAGGAACACCAGUGGCGAAGGCGACUCUCUGGUCUGUAACUGACGCUGAGGUGCGAAAGCGUGGGGAG
rnacentral:rRNA from 1 species